rnacentral:rRNA from 1 species
UACGUAGGGUGCGAGCGUUGUCCGGAAUUAUUGGGCGUAAAGGGCUCGUAGGCGGUCUGUUGCGUCAGGAGUGAAAACUCGGGGCUUAACCCCGAGCCUGCUUCUGAUACGGGCAGACUAGAGGUAUGCAGGGGAGAACGGAAUCCCUGGUGUAGCGGUGAAAUGCGCAGAUAUCAGGAGGAACACCGGUGGCGAAGGCGGUUCUCUGGGAUGGUACUGACGCUGAGACGCGAAAGCGUGGGGAGCGAACAGG